rnacentral:lncRNA from 1 species
UUAAUGUUAAAGGAUCGCUAUAGCACUAGGAAUACAGGUUUGUAUUAGAGUAGCCCCCCACGUUAAUAAAAUAGAGAUUCUUACCUUUUAUCACUGCUAAGGCUCUGUUGGCGCUGCUCACCUCUCCUGUGAUGUCACAGAAGAAGUAUGGUCUCCUCUGGCAAUGGUCCAAUCCAGUGGUAAUCACAGAGGAGCAAUUGGGACCUAAUGCGCUUGCAUGGUGAGCGCCGCAUGCUUCCAAUACUACUACUCAUAGAAAGGCAUUUCAUUUAGUGCUUUUCUAUGACCUUCCGCAUGAUACGAUCAUGUUUUACUAGGUCGGUUCAGCAAGGGCGGCAUGUUGAACCUGUCAAGAUAAAUAUUGCCCUUCCUUGUCUUAUCUCAAAGGUUUAAACACACAAGACCACUUCACUGAGAUUCUUCAUUGAGAUGAAGUGUUCUGGGUGACGUGGGUCAUUUCGUUUUAUUUUAGUAAAUAGCAGAGAUGUAAAAUAAUGAAUCCAUUCGUUUUUUAUAACCAUGCCUCUUUCUUGCUAACAGUUGGGUAAUACACACGGCAGCUGGUAUAGACUCGGGAUCCAUGAACCAUUUUAGUCUUGGCGUAUUCAGAGACGCUAUUUUCUAUUCACUUGUUUUCUCCAAGAAGCAGCAAUAUAUGCUUCCCAGCCUCUUGAUUUCAGCAGAGUGUUUUCAUUAGAUUGCAAGCUUUGGGACAAGGCCAUCAAAACACACUGUCUUUUUCUGUCUCUGUGAAAAAAGUCUUGUUAUGGCAUUUAUAUAUUGAAUGUGGCACUGUAGAAUUUGCUACAAUUUAAAAACUACAACGUACCCCCCAUUUGAGCAUAUGAGUCACUCAUUCCUUAGUCAUCAACCCAGUGGACAUCAGUUGUGAACACGGGAUGGUCAACAUCUGGUCCAGAGACAGUCUGAGAAUCAUGGGAGACAGCCCAAAUCACCUUCUGUGUUAACCCCGGGAGUCUCAAAUAAAGCUUGAUUAACAUGUUAUUUGAGAAGAGAAGAUGCAAAAUCAAAGGAACUUACCACCUGUGAUCAAGUAUUCUUUACAUCAGUUGUGAGUGGCAGUUAAAGAUUAAUUCUUUGUCCUAGAAUGGGGUCAUUCUAUGCAGUAUCUUUCUUUCGCUGGAGUUUAUUGAUACAGUUGAGAUCUGUGGAGCAUUAAUACGAGUACUGGACAUUUCCACUUAAAGGGACACUAUAGUCACCAAAACAACUUUAGCUUAAUAAAGCAGUUUUGAUAUAUAGAUAAUGCCCCUGCAGUCUCAUUGCUCAAUUUUCUGCCAUUUAGGAGUUAAAUCACUUUGUUUACGCAGCCCUAGACACACCUCCCUGCAUGUGACUUACACAGCUUUCCGAAACACAUCCUGUAAAGAGUCAUCUAAUGUUUAUACUUCCUUGAUUGCACAGUCUAAUUUAGAAUUCCUCUGGGCCUCACUUCCUGAAUACAUAGUGAAUCAUCUGAGCCUCCCUUCCUGAAUGUAUAUUGAAUCCUCUGGGCCUCACUUCCUGAAUGUAUAUUGAAUUAUCUGGGCCUCACUUCCUGAAUGUAUAUUGAAUCCUCUGGGCCUCACUUCCUGAAUGUAUAUUGAAUCCUCUGGGCCUCACUUCCUGAACGUAUAUUGAAUCCUCUGGGCCUCACUACCUGAAUUUCCGGGCCACACUUCCUAAAUGUAUUUUGAACCCUCUGGGCCUCACUUCCAGAAUGUAUAUUACAUUAUCCGGGCCUCACUUCCUGAAUGUAUAUUGAAUCUUCCGGGCCUCACUUCCUGAAUGUCCGGGUCUCACUUCCUGAAUGUAUAUUGAAUUAUCUGGGCCUCACUUCCUGAAUGUAUAUUGAAUUAUCUGGGCCUCACUUCCUGAAUGUGUUUUGAAUCCUCUGGGCCUCACUUCCUGAAAAGGUCUGCAGGCAGCUCUGAAAUAAGAUCGUGGUAAAUACAAGGAAUAUAUCACCCUUAACAUGAACACUUUACUUAAAGUUCCCAUCAUUAAUAUUUGCCUAUUAGAGAGAGGGGGACAGGACCAAUGAUGCUUUUUUUGACACUAAUUUCUCUCCUCUGCCUAAAUUAAAAGCCAUUCCUCAUCUUGGCUCCUACGUUUGCAGCCAAUUCAAGGGUAAAUCUUGCUUAGCGGACUCACAGUGAAUCAAUCACUAUGAUCUCCUGGGCAUUAUAUCUACCAGAGCGCUAUAUGUGAAUAAUGCAUAAAUAAAGAUCACAAGGUUUAUUUACAAACCAUGUGCUGUGAAGAAAUGACUUGGGAUCUGCAAAAUUCUAGGCCAGAGAAAGCGAAUUGGAUUCGCAGCGGAUCGGAUCCAGGAAAGAAACGUCCACCAUUGACACGGAAUCUGCACACGCGAGGCGUCAUACCCCGAUAGGCAGAUAUACAAUGUAUCUCGCCCCAGUCUCACUAACACUUUCAGCCUCAGUCCCUCUGCCAGAAUGUGACGGGGAGCAGGGGAACAAUGUACUAAAAGUGGAGCAAUCACCAUGGAAACAAGUGGAAUGUCCCUGAUUGAUGUACGACACUUUGUCACUGAUAAACAAGAGUUCAGCAGUGUGAAUGGCGCUAAGUGAGAUGCCCGCUAAUCUUACAGCAAAUAGUUAAUUGUAUUUGUGAAUGUUCUCCCUCUUAAACUGAAUAGGUUAAAAGAGGCAGCAAUGGGAGGAUUUGCCCUGUCUUGAAUUGAAAGGGUUAAGAGGCAGCAAUUGGUGCAUUUGCCCUCUAUUGUACUGAAAGGGUUAAGAGGCGGCAAUGAGCGGCUUUGCCCUGUCAUGUACUGAAAGGGUUAAGAGGCGGCAAUGGGUGGAUUUGCCCUGUCUUGUACUGAAAGGGUUAAGAGUCAGCAAUGGGCGGAUUUGCCCUCUCUUGUACUAAAAGGGUUAAGAGAAGGCAAUGGGCAGAUUUGCUCUCUCUUGUACUGAAAGGGUGAAGAGGUGGCAAUGGGUGGAUUUGCCCU